rnacentral:rRNA from 1 species
GACGAACGCUGGCGGCGUGCUUAACACAUGCAAGUCGAGCGGUAAGGCCCUUUCGGGGGUACGACGAGCGGCGAACGGGUGAGUAACACGUGGGUGACCUGCCCUUAGCUCUGGGAUAAGCCUGGGAAACUGGGUCUAAUACCGGAUAUGACUCCAUGACGCAUGUUGUGGGGUGGAAAGCCUUGUGCGGCUAGGGAUGGGCCCGCGGCCUAUCAGCUUGUUGGUGGGGUGAUGGCCUACCAAGGCGACGACGGGUGGCCGGCCUGAGAGGGCGACCGGCCACACUGGGACUGAGACACGGCCCAGACUCCUACGGGAGGCAGCAGUGGGGAAUCUUGCGCAAUGGGCGAAAGCCUGACGCAGCGACGCCGCGUGGGGAUGACGGCCUGGUGUAAC